rnacentral:rRNA from 1 species
AUGAACGCUGGCGGCGUGCCUAAUACAUGCCAGUCGAGCGAACAGACGAGGAGCUUGCUCCUCUGACGUUAGCGGCGGACGGGUGAGUAACACGUGGAUAACCUACCUAUAAGACUGGGAUAACUUCGGGAAACCGGAGCCAAUACCGGAUAAUAUAUUGAACCGCAUGGUUCAAUAGUGAAAGACGGUUUUGCUGUCACUUAUAGAUUGAUCCGCGCCGCAUUAGCUAGUUGGUAAGGUAACGGCUUACCAAGGCAACGAUGCGUAGCCGACCUGAGAGGGUGAUCGGCCACACUGGAACUGAGACACGGUCCAGACUCCUACGGGAGGCAGCAGUAGGGAAUCUUCCGCAAUGGGCGAAAGCCUGACGGAGCAACGCCGCGUGAGUGAUGAAGGUCUUCGGAUCGUAAAACUCUGUUAUUAGGGAAGAACAAAUGUGUAAGUAACUAUGCACGUCUUGACGGUACCUAAUCAGAAAGCCACGGCUAACUACGUG